UACAGAGGGUGCAAACGUUGUUCGGAAUUACUGGGCGUAAAGCGCGUGUAGGCGGCCCUGCAAGUCGGAUGUGAAAUCCCACGGCUCAACCGUGGAAGUGCAUUCGAAACUGCAGGGCUGGAGUACUGGAGAGGAAGGUGGAAUGCUCGGUGUAGAGGUGAAAUUCGUAGAUAUCGAGCGGAACACCGGUGGCGAAGGCGGCCUUCUGGACAGUAACUGACGCUGAGACGCGAAAGCGUGGGGAGCAAACAGG
rnacentral:rRNA from 1 species